AAGUCGUAACAAGGUUUCCGUAGGUGAACCUGCGGAAGGAUCAUUAAUACGUAUCCACGUAGCAAAACCCCUCUGUGCAAACCUCUUACAUUAGGCUUGAUUGGAGUUGUAUUCACUCGAUCUUAAUGAUGAGAGUCCCUCUCUCGGCGGAGCCUAUGAGCGUUUACGGCGUUUGACAAUCGGGCCGCUAUUUUUCCAUCGUUACCCCUUUUACCCAAUUUUAACCCCUUGUACUCUUUUGUACGGUACCAAUUCUUCGAGUUUCAGCUUCGGCUGAGAUACGAAAGAUAUUAUGAAACUAAAGAACAACUCUUAGCAACUGGUUCCG
rnacentral:misc_RNA from 1 species